AGUGGUGGCCGGGUGGUAACGGCACCAAGUUAUCAACCUGGAAAUGUGUGUUCGAGUCCCACCACCACCG
rnacentral:tRNA from 1 species